CGAGCCGGGCGGACGGCCGCGUGAAGUCCCCUCUUGGAGGGCUUCCCGAGGAACGUCCGGGCUCCACAGGGCAGGGUGAUGGCUAACGGCCACCCGGGGUGACCCGCGGGAAAGUGCCACAGAAAACAAACCGCCGGGGACUUCGGUCCUCGGUAAGGGUGAAACGGCGGUGUAAGAGACCACCAGUGCCCAGGGCGACCUGGGCAGCUAGGUAAACCCCACCCGGAGCAAGGUCAAAAGGAAACACCCCGGUGUUUCUGCGGGGACGCUCGAGGGCUGCCCGCCCGAGUCCCCGGGUAGACCGCACGAGACCGGCGGCAACGCCGGUCCUAGAUGGAUGGCCGUCUCCCCGACCGCCGCGAGGGGGUCGGGUGACAGAACCCGGCGUACAGCCCGACUCGUCUG
rfam:Streptomyces sviceus ATCC 29083 chromosome, whole genome shotgun sequence.